rnacentral:rRNA from 1 species
AAAGUCGUAACAAGGUUUCCGUAGGUGAACCUGCCGAAGGAUAAUUG